rnacentral:rRNA from 1 species
GCUGGCGACUAGCGCGCGGGGGCCACACCCGUUCCCAUUCCGAACACGGCAGUUAAGUCCCGUAGCGCCGAUGGUACUGCGAGCGCGAGCUCGCGGGAGAGUAGGCCGUUGCCAGCC